rnacentral:rRNA from 1 species
AGGGUGCAAGCGUUGUUCGGAAUUAUUGGGCGUAAAGCGCGCGUAGGCGGAACUGCAAGUCGGGGGUGAAAGCCCGAGGCUCAACCUCGGAACUGCCUUCGAUACUGCGGGUCUCGAGUCCGGGAGAGGUGAGUGGAAUUCCUAGUGUAGAGGUGAAAUUCGUAGAUAUUAGGAAGAACACCAGUGGCGAAGGCGGCUCACUGGCCCGGUACUGACGCUGAGGCGCGAAAGCAUGGGGAGCGAACAGG